ensembl:ncRNA F08G5.19 ncRNA
CAGGGGAACAUCAUCGCGAUUCGGAAGAUUUUUGACGUCAGUCACGCAGGCAGCAGCAGCCUCACCCAACACCAAUCAAACUUUUUAUAAGCUCUGCUCUCUUUGGCCAGCUUCAAUGGCAAACGCAUCACUUGCAUACUUCCAACCGAUUUCUACCCAUUUUAUGAGUCGUUUACUGGCUCUGAUGGGAGGCCUU